CUUUGUCAUAGUAGAUGCUCAUGUCCACAUCCCAGUCAUCUGCAGUCUGCUCAUCAAAGUCUCCGUUCUCCUCCCGCCAGUACUGAGCAUCUGUGUAGAAGACAAGGCCUGAGCCCCCUUUCUCCCACUUCAGCUCAAUCUCCUCCUCAAACAGCCGCUCCUCCACACGAUCCUGCUUGGUCACAUCCUCAUGCAGAGCCUCGUGUCGCUCCCAUUCCUCACAGGUAUCAUUGUCGUCAUCCGAGUGCGACUCCUCUUCCUCCUUUUCCUGCCCCACCUCAUCUUCCUCAGCACCGGCUGGAUCAGCCACCUCAGUUCUUGCCACGGGCCCCUCAUCCUCU
rnacentral:lncRNA from 1 species